rnacentral:rRNA from 1 species
GACGAACGCUGGCGGCGUGCUUAACACAUGCAAGUCGAACGGAAAGGCCCUGCUUUUGUGGGGUGCUCGAGUGGCGAACGGGUGAGUAACACGUGAGUAACCUGCCCUUGACUUUGGGAUAACUUCAGGAAACUGGGGCUAAUACCGGAUAGGAGCUCCUGCUGCAUGGUGGGGGUUGGAAAGUUUCGGCGUUUGGGGAUGGACUGGCGGCUUAUCAGCUUGUUGGUGGGGUAGUGGCUUACCAAGGCUUUGGCGGGUAGCCGGCCUGAGAGGGGGACCGGCCACAUUGGGCCUGAGAUACGGCCCAGACUCCUACGGGGGGCAGCAGUGGGGAAUAUUGCACAAUGGGCCGAAGCCUGAUGCAGCAACGCCGCGGGCGGGAAGCCGGCCUUCGGGGUGUAAAACGCAUUCGCCUGUGACGAAGCGUGGGUGACGGUAAUGGGUAAAGAAGCACCGGCUAACUACGUG